UACGUAGGGGGCAAGCGUUGUCCGGAAUCAUUGGGCGUAAAGCGCGUGUAGGCGGUCCGGUAAGUCCGCUGUGAAAGUCGGGGGCUCAACCCUCGAAUGCCGGUGGAUACUGUCGGGCUAGAGUGCGGAAGAGGCGAGUGGAAUUCCUGGUGUAGCGGUGAAAUGCGCAGAUAUCAGGAGGAACACCUAUUGCGAAGGCAGCUCGCUGGGACGUAACUGACGCUGAGACGCGAAAGCGUGGGGAGCAAACAGG
rnacentral:rRNA from 1 species